rnacentral:tRNA from 1 species
CGGGGUAUGGCGCAGUCUGGUAGCGCACCUGCUUUGGGAGCAGGGGGUCGUGGGUUCGAAUCCCCCUACCCCGA